rnacentral:rRNA from 1 species
AUACGGAGGAUCCGAGCGUUAUCCGGAUUUAUUGGGUUUAAAGGGUGCGCAGGCGGCCAUUUAAGUCAGCGGUUAAAUCGUGGGGCUCAACCCCAUUCUGCCGUUGAUACUGGGUGGCUUGAUUGCGGUCGAGGUUGGCGGAAUUCGUUGUGUAGCGGUGAGAUGCAUAGAUAUGACGAAGAACACCGAUUGCGUAGGCAGCUGACCAGAACGCAAAUGACGCUCAUGCACGAAAGUGCGGGGAUCGAACAGGAUUAGAUACCCUGGUAGUCCGCACAGUAAACGAUGAAUACUUGUUUUCGGCGAUAUAAUGUCGGAGGCAAAGCGAAAGCGAUAAGUAUUCCACCUGGGGAGUACGCCGGCAACGGUGAAACUCAAAUGAAUUGACGGGG